GGAGAGUUGACAGAGUGGUAUUGUAAUGGCCCGCUAAGCCAUCAUCGUUAAUUCGAUGCAAAGGUUCGAAUCCUUUACUCUCCG
rnacentral:tRNA from 1 species